rnacentral:other from 1 species
GCCGCAGUCAUCUGGGGAGUAGCCAGCCGUCUUGCGACGGGCCUCCGCGUCAACACACUUGGUCGAGAGGCCAUGGCGCGAAGGGAGCAGGGACUUGCGUCCCGUUCGGGCGAGACCAAUGGCGCCAUGCUUU